CAAAAGGCCAUUCCAUUUUUUCCUUUCUUCUUGACCAAUUCAUAUAUACACAGAACAAACAAAAUACAAAAAUAGACACCUCACGCCAUUAAAAAGGGACAACACACACCUGGCCAUUCGAACAACAACCUCACUGAAAUACUCACAGAGGGAGAGCACACUGACCCUCACGCACAUCACACACACACUCCAUUUUUCUUUUUCUUCUCUACCGAGAACACACACCCAGAUAUACACCAUUACACCACUCACACGGAGAUGGAAUACGUGCAUACUCUCACUGAUUGAAGGGGUCCCUAUUUUUUCAUUUUUCUUUAACAACGCACGACAACACCAUAGAGAGAAUACCCACAAAAAUAGAGAAAAAAAAACCCGAAUAAAACAUACUACAAAUUGAAACCUUACCGAAAAAGUUCACUCACUCAUAAAUAGCUCACCAUACGUACACACGUCGUGUAUAAACACGCCACACACUGAAAAUAGAGAGUUGAGGGUGUGAUCGGAGUAAUCGAGAAAGUGAGAUUCGAGUGAGAGAGAUAUAGAAACAGAGAGGGGGAUCGAAAGAUUAAGAGCAAAGCACAAAGGAGAACCGACUGUGAAGGAGGGUGGUGCGAUCGAAUUUCGGCAACGUCCACUGGAAUCGUGGUUUGGUUCGGUUUUGCCUGAAAUCAGGUUGGGCUUUGGGUUUAUUCGUCUUCGCGAUUCAUUUUCAAUAUUGUAAUUCUUGGGUUACUCUAUUCAUGCCCGUGGAAUUCUGUUCGAAUUGGAUUUUGUGAAUAUUCCGUGUUUGGAGUUUGGUUGAUAGUCGAGUCGGUAUUCGUUGAGGUUCUCGGGACAACUCUUUAUUCUCUUAUUCAAAUCAAUUGAAAGCGGCAUUGAGGUACCAUUGCUGCCACUAAUCUUGAUGUCACAUUUGAUCGUGAUACAAGUCAAAUGGCCACCUUAAUUUUUGAAGACAUAAUUGGAGGUCAUCAUUUAAAGGUUCAAGACUUGGUCACCCCGAUGGCACAAGAAUAUACAAGGAAGACCCAUUUUGAGCACAAGCAAGGUUGUGUGUAGAAGAUUACUUGGAGCAUCGAAGACUUGAGGACUCACGGUUUUGGACAGCACUUAAUGGGUCAUGAUUUGGUUAUCUUGAUUAAGGGUAUUUUGGUCACUUCAUUGGGUCCAAAUGCACUCCAUGGCCACCCAACCUUUUAAGGGCAUUGUUGUUAUUUUGCCUUGUCUUGUAAUAGAAUAUAAAUAGAACAUUUUAGGUCAUUUUCUCGUUAGUUUUUCAUUGAUGUAAGACUUGAAACAUUAAACACCUUUAGUUGUCAAGCUUG